rnacentral:rRNA from 1 species
CUCUCGGCAACGGAUAUCUAGGCUCUCGCAUCGAUGAAGAACGUAGCGAAAUGCGAUACUUGGUGUGAAUUGCAGAAUCCCGCGAAUCAUCGAGUCUUUGAACGCAAGUUGCGCCCGAAGCCCCUCGGGGCCGAGGGCACGUCUGCCUGGGCGUCACGCACCGUCGCC